rnacentral:rRNA from 1 species
AUUGAACGCUGGCGGCAGGCCUAACACAUGCAAGUCGAACGAGUGGCGGACGGGUGAGUAAUGUCUGGGAAACUGCCUGAUGGAGGGGGAUACCUCCUGGAAACGGUAGCUAAUACCGCAUACCAUCGGAUGUGCCCAGAUGGGAUUAGCUAGUGGGUGGGGUAACGGCUCACCUAGGCGACGAUCCCUAGCUGGUCUGAGAGGAUGACCAGCCACACUGGAACGGAGACACGGUCCAGACGCCGACGGGAGGCAGCAGGGGGGAAGAUUGCAAAAUGGGCGCAAGCCUGAUGCAGCCAUGCCGCGGGUAUGAAGAAGGCCUUCGGGUUGUAAAGUACGUUCAGCGGGGAGGCGUUACCCGCAGAAGAAGCACCGGCUAACUCCGUGCCAGCAGCCGCGGUAAUAC